UGAAUGAGUGUGACCUCGAAGAGUACUGU
rnacentral:piRNA from 1 species